GUCGAACGGAGUAGCAAUACUUAGUGGCAGACGGGUGAGUAACAUGUGGGUAUCUUCCCUUUGGUGAGGAAUAACACGAGGAAACUUGUGUUAAUACCUCAUAAGUCUUUACGGAGAAAGCUUUAUGCGCCAUUGGAUGAGCCCGCACUUGAUUAGUUUGUUGGUGGGGUAAUGGCCUACCAAGACUUUGAUCAAUAGUUGAUUUGAGAGGAUGAUCAGCCACAUUGGGACUGAGACACGGCCCAAACUCCUACGGGAGGCAGCAGUAGGGAAUCUUGCACAAUGGGGGAAACCUUGAUGCAGCGAUGCCGCGUGAGUGAAGAAGGCCUUUGGGUUGUAAAGCUCUUUCGUCGGGGAAGAAAAUGACUGUACCCGAAUAAGAAGGUCCGGCUAACUUCGUGCCAGCAGCCGCGGUAAUACGAAGGGACCUAGCGUAGUUCGGAAUUACUGGGCUUAAAGAGUUCGUAGGUGGUUAAAAAAGUUGGUGGUGAAAUCCCAGAGCUUAACUCUGGAACUGCCAUCAAAACUUUUUAGCUAGAGUAUGAUAGAGGAAAGCAGAAUUUCUAGUGUAGAGGUGAAAUUCGUAGAUAUUAGAAAGAAUACCAAUUGCGAANGCAGCUUUCUGGAUCAUUACUGACACUGAGGAACGAAAGCAUGGGUAGCGAAGAGGAUUAGAUACCCUCGUAGUCCAUGCCGUAAACGAUGUGUGUUCGACGUUGGAAAUUUAUUUUUCAGUGUCUCAGCGAAAGCNAUAAACACACCGCCNGGGGAGUACNACCGCANNGUUAAAACUCAAAUGAANUNGANNGGNACCCGCACANGUAGUGGANCAUGUGGUUUAA
rnacentral:rRNA from 1 species